UACGUAGGGGACGAGCGUUGUCCGGAAUUACUGGGCGUAAAGGGCGCGCAGGCGGAUAUUUAAGUCAGCUGUUAAAGUCAUGGGCUCAACUCAUGGAUGCGGUUGAAACUGGAUAUCUCGAGUGCUGGAGAGGUAGGCGGAAUUCCCGGUGUAGCGGUGAAAUGCGUAGAUAUCGGGAAGAACACCAGUGGCGAAGGCGGCUUACUGGCCAGCAACUGACGCUGAGGCGCGAAAGCCAGGGGAGCGAACGGG
rnacentral:rRNA from 1 species